ACAGGGAGACAGGUGGUGCAUGGUUGUCGUCAGCUCGUGUCGUGAGAUGUUGGUUAAGUCCGCACGAGCGCAACCCUACGUUUAGUUGCUAACGCGUGAAGGCGAGCACUCUAGACGAACUGCCGUUGACAAAACGGAGGAAGUGGGGAUGACGUCAAAUCAUCAUGCCCCUUAUGUUCUGGGCUACACACGUGCUACAAUGGCCGGUACAGACGGACGCAAAGCCGCGAGGUGGAGCAAAUCCUAAAAAGCCGGUCUCAGUUCGGAUUGCAGGCUGCAAUUCGCCUGCAUGAAGUCGGAAUCGCUAGUAAUCGCAGGUCAGCAUACUGCGGUGAAUACGUUCCCGGGCCUU
rnacentral:rRNA from 1 species